UACGUAGGGCGCAAGCGUUGUCCGGAAUUAUUGGGCGUAAAGAGCUCGUAGGCGGUUUGUCGCGUCUGCUGUGAAAAACCUAGGCUCAAACCUUGGGCUUGCAGUGGGUACGGGGCAGACUAGAGUGCGGGUAGGGGGUGACUGGAAUUCCUGGUGUAGCGGGUGGAAAUGCGCAGAUAUCAGGGAGGGAAACACCCCGAUGG
rnacentral:rRNA from 1 species